rnacentral:rRNA from 3 species
GUGGCCUUGAGCCGUGGCUUUCGGAGCUAACGCGUUAAGUAGACCGCCUGGGGAGUACGGUCGCAAGAUUAAAACUCAAAUGAAUUGACGGGGGCCCGCACAAGCGGUGGAGCAUGUGGUUUAAUUCGAUGCAACGCGAAGAACCUUACCUACUCUUGACAUCCAGAGAACUUUCCAGAGAUGGAUUGGUGCCUUCGGGAACUCUGAGACAGGUGCUGCAUGGCUGUCGUCAGCUCGUGUCGUGAGAU